GCUCCUGCGCGAAGGAAGCCGGACGGCGCCGCGCGGGUCGGGGAAGCGACUGAAGGACCGAGCGGGUUGUGCCUUUUCUCUCGGCUGAUUCACCCGCUGCCGCCGCCGCCCUCCUCCCCUCCGCCUUAAAGACCCUGGUUAUGACAUGGAGCAAUGUAUGAACCCAGCCAACUAUGGUCUAAGCAACCAGACAACGUCCUCCGUGAAUUCAGACAACAGCUCAGAUGCUCUUGUGCAUUCUGAAAUUAAGAAUUGUGAAAGGAAUCAAUUGAAGGAGAAAAAGAGUGUUCUGGUAGAGUGUGGGAUAAGGUCUGGAGUCUGUUGAGAAGAAAUUAAAAACAAGGACAAAUAAAAGGAUUGCUGAAUCAAGGUUUGAAAGAAGAGAAGGAAAAUAAAAUGAAAACACUUAAAAAAAGAAUAGGAUUCCUGCAAGGAUGGCAGAAGGACAGGAAGACCUGGAGGAACGUUUUCCAUGGGGUCGCGAUGGGUCGGACACGACUUCGCAAUUAACAACAACAACAACAAAGGAUGGCAGAACCUGAGUCCAAAACUAACAAGGCAUCUUUUUUAUAUUCUUAAAAAAUAGAAUAUGUUCAAGAUUGCAUAAGACAAGUAGGUUCACUUUUGUCUUGCAAAAUAUUAUUGAACCACCAGAAAUAUAUUUAUUAAAUAAAUAAGGCAAAAAACAAGUGAAGAAAGGGGAUCACUCCAGACCAUAAUCUUCCAUGUUCAAUUGUCUGUUAGGCAUUGUAUCCCUUUAGUUUUCAACCAACCUCUCUGAGCUUGGUUAUUUUCUUGCAGACAUUUCAUCACCCAACUAUGUAACGUCAUCAGUGCUAAAAGAGAGUGGGGAGACUAAACCUCACUCUCUUCCAGCACUGAUAAUAGUACCUACUUAGGUAAUGAAAUGCCUACAAGAAAACAACCAAGUUCAGGGAGCAUCAAGGACCCCACAGAUCAACCUUGAG